rnacentral:rRNA from 1 species
UACGGAGGGUGCAAGCGUUAUCCGGAUUCACUGGGUUUAAAGGGUGCGUAGGCGGAUAUGUAAGUUAGAGGUGAAAGCCCGGAGCUCAACUCCGGAACUGCCUUUAAGACUGCAUCGCUUGAACGUCGGAGAGGUAAGUGGAAUUCCGAGUGUAGAGGUGAGAUUCGUAGAUAUUCGGAAGAACACCAGUGGCGAAGGCGACUUACUGGACGACUGUUGACGCUGAGGUGCGAAAGCGUGGGGAGCAAACAGG